AGCCUGUGAUGACACAUUUUUUAAAACAUUUUUUCUGACACCUACUAUGACAGCUGAACUACAGCUUGUGAUUCUAACUUAUCCUGAGGCUA